UACGUAGGGUGCGAGCGUUGUCCGGAAUUAUUGGGCGUAAAGAGCUCGUAGGCGGCUUGUCGCGUCGGAUGUGAAAGCCCGGGGCUUAACUUCGGGUCUGCAUUCGAUACGGGCAGGCUAGAGUUCGGUAGGGGAGAUCGGAAUUCCUGGUGUAGCGGUGAAAUGCGCAGAUAUCAGGAGGAACACCGGUGGCGAAGGCGGUUCUCUGGGUCUUACCUGACGCUGAGGAGCGAAAGCAUGGGGAGCAAACAGG
rnacentral:rRNA from 1 species